UAAUACCACAUGUGAUCCCGAGGAACAGAUACUUGGGAUGAAAGGAGCGAUUCGCUCGGGAGGGCCUGCGUCCCAUCAGCUAGUGGUAAGGUAACGGCUUACCAAGGCGAUGACGGGUAGGGGACCUGAGAGGGUCGGCCCCCCCACAAUGGAACUGAAACACGGUCCAUACACCUACGGGUGGCAGCAGUAGGGAAUAUUGGUUAAUGUGCGAAAGCGCGAACCAGCAACGCCGCGUGUGCGAUGAAGGCCUUCGGGUCGUAAAGCACUUUUUGCAGGGAAGAGGAAGGACGGUACCUGCAGAAUAAGUCUCGGCUAACUACGUGCCAGCAGCCGCGGUAAAACGUAGGAGACGAGCGUUAUCCGGAUUUACUGGGCGUAAAGCGCGUGCAGGCGGCAUGGCAAGUUGGAUGUGAAAGCUCCCGGCUUAACUGGGAGAGGUCGUUCAAUACUGCCAGGCUUGAGAGUGGUAGAGGGGAAGCGGAAUUCCGGGUGUAGUGGUGAAAUGCGUAGAUAUCCGGAGGAACACCAGUGGC
rnacentral:rRNA from 1 species